rnacentral:lncRNA from 1 species
AAAAAAUAUUGAAAUCAAUAAAAUCAAAAAUCUUUGAACAGAAGGUUUCUUUUUUUUUAUCCUUUUCAUUCUUUUUUUUGUAUUUGUUUCUGUCUUUCUCUUUUUAUUAUGUAUGUAUAUAUAUGUAUAUAAGAAUAUAUAUAAAGAACGAGAUGCAAUCUUACCUGGACUGGUGCGCCGUCAAAAGCCUCCAUCUCCUCUACUCAGAUCGGAGAGAAAAGGGGAAGGUUUUGAGCCGAAACGGCGCUCUUAGGAGGCCUUUAGUUUUAUUUUUUGAGUAUUGUUUAAAGAGGGAUAAGGUUUA